AUACAUUUGAUGAGACAAAAUAGAUGCUGAGGUAACUUGUCUUUCUAAGAUAAGAAGUUGAAGUUUGGCAUAAAUGCCAGUCGGUUCUUAUUUCUCCAUCACUUAAAGAUGAUUCUUUCUCUAAAGCCUCUUUGGCACUUCACAGACCUUGUGGGCCCCUCAGCCAACAAUUGAACUCCUAAUAUAGCCCAAGUACUCUGUGGUGUGGUUUAAGGUUGCAGGGUUGCUGGAUGCUUGGUGAACCUUUUAACGUCCUCCAAUUCUCAGCUGCUCAAUGUAGACUCCUCCUCUAAUCAACACCAUCCUGCUGGCCUUCUCAUCACCUUGAGCCACACCAAAGCAGGUCAGCCUACAGUAGCCUUCAGGGCAUCCAACAAGUCUAUGUGUCCCUGAUACAAAUGUGCUUUCAUUGCAGACAAGGGCCCUUUGCAGUUGAAAGGAGGAACUCUCGUUUUUAAUAAGAUAACCUGGAGAAAGUUGUCUGUGGAGACCUACGUUGGCCAGCAAAGGUGCAUCAUGCCUUUUAUGGUAUGCAUCUACCCACCCACCAGCAGAGCACUCAUAGACACUCCUAAGCUCUUUAUUUUAUGAGAUGUUGAAGUCAAGAAGAAGAACUAAACCACAGUGAUCUGAGAUUUCUGAGACACAAAAGUGAUU